rnacentral:rRNA from 1 species
CAGUAGCCGCGGUAAUACGAAGGGUGUAAGCGUUAAUCGGAAUUACUGGGCGUAAAGCGUGCGUAGGCGGUUUGUUAAGUCUGCUGUGAAAUCCCCGGGCUCAACCUGGGAAUGGCAGUGGAUACUGGCAAGCUAGAGUGUGUCAGAGGAUGGUGGAAUUCCCGGUGUAGCGGUGAAAUGCGUAGAGAUCGGGAGGAACAUCAGUGGCGAAGGCGGCCAUCUGGGACAACACUGACGCUGAGGCACGAAAGCGUGGGGAGCAAACAGGAUUAGAUACCCGUGUAGUCCCUGUCUCUUAUAC